AAACACAGAAAAAAAUUUUUAAAAGAACAAUUUUCAAAAACUCUAUGUAUUUUAGUGAUUGAACAAGAAAUUAUAGAGUUUUAAGGAGAGCAACCAAAGAAAAAUGAAAUACUAAGCUUGGGGAGACAUUUUAGACAGAACAAAGUGAUAUGAUGCUCCUUGUUAAUUUGCUCAAGAAAUGACAGCCAGUAGCUUUCCUUCAUUAUAUCAAUAGUGAAGUUUACCAGGAAUGAUCUUAGACUUCCCCUGGACGCCAUGAGACUUAAGCCGAGAAGAUCUCAAAAGCCUUUACAAGACAAACCGGGAAGAGGAAAAGUAUUAGAUAUUGGCUUUUGCAUGUGCCAUUUCAUCCACCUGGCAUAUCCCUCCUUCCCAAUGGAACUAU